rnacentral:rRNA from 1 species
GAAAAGAAACUAACAAGGAUUCCCCUAGUAACUGCGAGUGAAGCGGGAAAAGCUCAAAUUUAAAAUCUGGCGGUCUUUGGCCGUCCGAGUUGUAAUCUAGAGAAGUGUUACCCGUGCUGGACCGUGUAUAAGUCUCCUGGAAUGGAGCGUCAUAGAGGGUGAGAAUCCCGUCUUUGACACGGACUACCAGUGCUUUUGUGGUGCGCUCUCAAAGAGUCGAGUUGUUUGGGAAUGCAGCUCAAAAUGGGUGGUAAAUUCCAUCUAAAGCUAAAUAUUGGCGAGAGACCGAUAGCGAACAAGUACCGUGAGGGAAAGAUGAAAAGAACUUUGGAAAGAGAGUUAAACAGUACGUGAAAUUGCUGAAAGGGAAACGCUUGAAGUCAGUCGCGUUGGCUGGAAAUCAACCUUGCUUUUGCUGGGUGUACUUUCUAGUUGACGGGCCAGCAUCAGUUUUGACCGGUGGAAAAAGUCCAAGGGAAUGUGGCAUCUUCGGAUGUGUUAUAGCCCUUGGUCGUAUACACUGAUUGGGACUGAGGAAUUCAGCACGCCGAAAGGCCGGGUCUUUGACCACGUUCGUGCUUAGGAUGCUGGCAUAAUGGCUUUAAUCGACCCGUCUG